GGUCGGCUGGAUCUCUCGGUUAGAUCGUCGUGCUGACAACACGAGGGCCAAGAGUUCAAUCCUCAUGCUGACCA
rnacentral:tRNA from 1 species